CACGUAGGGUGCGAGCGUUGUCCGGAAUUAUUGGGCGUAAAGAGCUCGUAGGCGGUGUGUCGCGUCGGCCGUGAAAACCUGCAGCUUAACUGUGGGCGUGCGGUCGAUACGGGCAUCACUGGAGUUCGGCAGGGGAGACUGGAAUUCCUGGUGUAGCGGUGAAAUGCGCAGAUAUCAGGAGGAACACCGGUGGCGAAGGCGGAUCUCUGGGCCUUACCUGACGCUCAGGUGCGAAAGCUAGGGGAGCGAACAGG
rnacentral:rRNA from 1 species